rnacentral:tRNA from 1 species
CUUCUCGUGAUGUAGUUAGCAAUGCGCCUGUCUAGUGAGUAGGAGUCGUGAGUUCAAGUCUCACCGAGAGGA